GACGAACGCUGGCGGCGUGCUUAACACAUGCAAGUCGAACGGAAAGGCCCUGCUGUUGUGGGGUGCUCGAGUGGCGAACGGGUGGGUAACACGUGAGUAACCUGCCCUUGACUUUGGGAUAACUUCAGGAAACUGGGGCUAAUACCGGAUAGGAGCUCCUGCUGCAUGGUGGGGGUGGGAAAGGUUCGGCGGUUGGGGAUGGACUCGCGGCUUAUCAGCGUGUUGGUGGGGUAGUGGCUUACCAAGGCUUUGACGGGUAGCCGGCCUGAGAGGGUGACCGGCCACAUUGGGACUGAGAUACGGCCCAGACUCCUACGGGAGGCAGCAGUGGGGAAUAUUGCACAAUGGGCGGACGCCUGAUGCAGCAACGCCGCGUGCGGGAUGACGGCCUUCGGGUUGUAAACCGCUUUCGCCUGUGACGAAGCGUGAGUGACGGUAAUGGGUAAAGAAGCACCGGCUAACUACGUG
rnacentral:rRNA from 1 species